GGGUGUUAGCUGCAUGCCACAGCGGCGCAGGUCAACUGUGCUGGUCGGGCCGCCACG
rnacentral:ncRNA from 1 species